rnacentral:rRNA from 1 species
CAGCAGCCGCGGUAAUACGUAGGUGGCAAGCGUUGUCCGGAAUUAUUGGGCGUAAAGGGCUCGCAGGCGGUUUCUUAAGUCCGAUGUGAAAGCCCCCGGCUCAACCGGGGAGGGUCAUUGGAAACUGGGAAACUUGAGUGCAGAAGAGGAGAGUGGAAUUCCACGUGUAGCGGUGAGAUGCGUAGAGAUGUGGAGGAACACCAGUGGCGAAGGCGACUCUCUGGUCUGUAACUGACGCUGAGGAGCGAAAGCGUGGGGAGCAAACAGGAUUAGAUACCCGCGUAGUCCCUGUCUCUUAUAC